CACACUGUAAACGAUGAAUGCUAGGUGUAGGAGGUAUCGACCCCUUCUGUGCCGCAGUCAACACAGUAAGCAUUCCGCCUGGGGAGUACGGUCGCAAGAUUAAAACUCAAAGGAAUUGACGGGGGCCCGCACAAGCAGCGGAGCAUGUGGUUUAAUUCGACGCAACGCGAAGAACCUUACCAGGUCUUGACAUCCAGUUAAAGCGUAUGAAAGUACGUGUCUUUUCGGAGGAACUGAGACAGGUGG
rnacentral:rRNA from 1 species